rnacentral:rRNA from 1 species
GAUGAACGCUAGCGACAGGCUUAACACAUGCAAGUCGAGGGGCAGCAUGACCUAGCAAUAGGUUGAUGGCUACCGGCGCACGGGUGAGUAACACGUAUCCAACCUGCCGAUUAUUCCGGGAUAGCCUUUCGAAAGAAAGAUUAAUACUGGAUAGCAUAACGAGAAGGCAUCUUCUUGAUAUUAAAGAAUUUCGAUAAUCGAUGGGGAUGCGUUCCAUUAGUUUGUUGGCGGGGUCACGGCCCACCAAGACAUCGAUGGAUAGGAGUUCUGAGAGGAAGGUCCCCCGCAUUGGAACUGCGACCCGGUCCACACUCCUACGGGAGGCAGCAGUGAGGAAUAUUGGUCAAUGGACGAGAGUCUGAACCAGCCAAGUAGCGUGAAGGAUGACUGCCCUAUGGGUUGUAAACUUCUUUUAUAUGGGAAUAAAGUGGGCCACGUGUGGCUUUUUGUCUGUACCAUACGAAUAAGGAUCGGCUAACUCCGUG